AGGUCCCUACCCUGAAGAAGCUAGAAACCACGCUCCAUUCUCCUCUCAAAAGAGAUGAAACUUGACCCCUUCUCCUUCACUCUGUCAACGGCGCACCCCUCUCCAUUUUUCAACAAGAGACGAACCUUAUUGUUCUGCCUUUUGAUUUGUUUCAAGCUUAAUUUUCGAAGCUGUAGUGCUAAUGUCAAUGUUGAUGGGAAAAUUGUGAAUUUGGGUCUCUGGAAUACUGCUUAAAAUCGGCUGGGACUGACAUGGUCAUGGUUGCUGCUGUUAUUUUGUUGAAGGCUUGUAACUGGGUUUUCAUUUUUAUAGCUAUUGUUUCUUGCCUUCAUUUGACUCACUCUAGUGCUGUCUUCCGUUCGAUUUAGGAUUUCCUAACAGGCAGCCGCUUUCUUCAGGACUAAUUUUGGUGCUUUCAUUGCUGCUAAUAGCUAAUUCUAAAUUUUCUUCUGGAGUAUGUUAUUAUCCUUUGACAUGAGCUGAGUGAAUUUGUAGGAUAGAUUUUAGGAAGCAAAUUUAGCUACCAUGAUCAUGAGACUAAUCUAGGAGUACUAAAGACCAUGGUAAUAUAGGGGAAAGAGAUCUGAAAUAAGCUUUGUUUAAGAGGACCCUGCUCUUCUGAGAUGGAUAAAACUGCAGCUUUUGUCAUCUGCAGUUUGUAUAGCUUGACUUUUUCUUAGAAUUCUUUAUUCAUUCUGCUUUAUCUUUCAAAAUUUUGAUGUUAUAGAAGUUUACAAAUCA